rnacentral:rRNA from 1 species
CACGUAGGGUGCGAGCGUUGUCCGGAAUUAUUGGGCGUAAAGAGCUCGUAGGCGGUCUGUCGCGUCGGUUGUGAAAGCCCACAGCUUAACUGUGGGUCUGCAUCCGAUACGGGCAGACUAGAGGCAGGUAGGGGAGCAUGGAAUUCCCGGUGUAGCGGUGAAAUGCGCAGAUAUCGGGAGGAACACCCGUAGCGAAGGCGGCACUCUGGGCCGGUACUGACGCUGAGGAGCGAAAGCGUGGGGAGCAAACAGG